UGAAGGUCCACAGUUCAAUCCUGUGUGAGGGCAACCUUUUUUAUUUAUUAAAAGUCCAUAUGUCCAGCCACCCCUCCUGUUUUUGAUCCAAUGGUUGAAAGUCCAUAAAAAACAAGUAAAUAAAAUGAAUUUUGAAGAGAGAGAGAGAAUAUUAAAGGCUGAGAUUAUAGCAGAAUCAUAUUUAAUUUGGGGCAUAUCAAUAAAAAAGAGACAUAAAUUAAU
rnacentral:lncRNA from 1 species